AAACCAGAACGAUGCUGGACAUCAACAUCUUCCGCGACAACAAGGGCGGCAACCCCGAGUUCGUCCGCGAGUCGCAGCGCCGCCGCUUCGCCAGCAUCGACGUCGUCGAUGAGAUCAUCCAGCUGGACAAGGCUUGGCGUGAGCGCCAAUUCGAGCUGGAGGGCCUGCGGAAGGAGUUCAAUCGGAUCAAUAAAGAAGUCGCCCGGCUUAAGAUUGCGAGGGAGGAUGCGACGGAGAUGAUCAAGAGCACGGAGGAGAACAAGAGGCAGGCGGCGGAGAAAGAGCUAGAGGUGCAGGCGGCGAAGGCGGAGCUGGAUGCGAAGCUUGGGGCGAUGGGGAACCUGGUUCAUGACUCUGUCCCGGUUAGCAAUGAUGAGGCUAACAAUGAGGUGGUUCGGACGUGGGGCGAUAGGAGGAUGGAAGAGAAGCUGAA
rnacentral:misc_RNA from 1 species